UACGUAGGGUGCGAGCGUUGUCCGGAAUUACUGGGCGUAAAGAGUUCGUAGGCGGUUUGUCGCGUCGUUCGUGAAAACUUGGGGCUUAACUCCAAGCGUGCGGGCGAUACGGGCGGACUUGAGUACUACAGGGGAGACUGGAAUUCCUGGUGUAGCGGUGAAAUGCGCAGAUAUCAGGAGGAACACCGGUGGCGAAGGCGGGUCUCUGGGUAGUAACUGACGCUGAGGAACGAAAGCGUGGGUAGCGAACAGG
rnacentral:rRNA from 1 species